GGAAGCUACUGUGUCUUCAGCAAUCAGGGAGGGCUGGUGCAUCCCAAGACUUCAAUUGAAGACCAGGAUGAGCUGUCCUCUCUUCUUCAAGUCCCCCUUGUGGCGGGGACUGUGAACCGAGGCAGUGAGGUGAUUGCUGCUGGGAUGGUGGUGAAUGACUGGUGUGCCUUCUGUGGCCUGGACACAACCAGCACAGAGCUGUCAGUGGUGGAGAGUGUCUUCAAGCUGAAUGAAGCCCAGCCUAGCACCAUUGCCACCAGCAUGCGGGAUUCCCUCAUUGACAGAUUGGGUAACUCAAGGCGUCCCUGGAGUACACUGAGGAUAAGUGUUUGAGAAAUGCUGUCUGAAGGAAUGAAGUCAGUCUAUGACAACGUCUCUCUGCCGUGAAUCAUUCCUGCAGAUGAAAAAGUGUGACUUGGCAGCUGACCCCACCUCAGAGUUCACUCCCCGAGAGCCCAACCUGCAACACGUCAAGCAGACUGCCACCCUGUCAGUCCAUGGCUGAUGGAGGACAGAUGACAAGAUAUAC
rnacentral:lncRNA from 1 species